rnacentral:rRNA from 1 species
UACAGAGGGGGCAAGCGUUGUUCGGAAUUACUGGGCGUAAAGGGCUCGUAGGCGGCCAACUAAGUCAGACGUGAAAUCCCUCGGCUUAACCGGGGAACUGCGUCUGAUACUGGAUGGCUGGAGUUUGGGAGAGGGAUGCGGAAUUCCAGGUGUAGCGGUGAAAUGCGUAGAUAUCUGGAGGAACACCGGUGGCGAAGGCGGCAUCCUGGACCAACACUGACGCUGAUGAGCGAAAGCCAGGGGAGCAAACGGG